UACGAGUGCUCCAAGCGUUAUCCGGAAUCAUUGGGCGUAAAGGGUGUGUAGGCGGUUGUGUCAGUCUUUUGUUAAAUUCUUCGGCUUAACCGGGGACAUGCGAAGGAAACGGCACAACUAGAGGAUGCGAGAGGUAAAUGGAACUCAUGGAGUAGGGGUGAAAUCCGUUGAUAUCAUGGGGAACACCGAAAGCGAAGGCAAUUUACUGGCGCACUCCUGACGCUGAGACACGAAAGCGUAGGUAGCGAAUGGG
rnacentral:rRNA from 1 species